AACGAACGCUGGCGGCAGGCUUAACACAUGCAAGUCGAGCGCCCCGCAAGGGAAGCGGCAGACGGGUGAGUAACGCGUGGGAACGUACCCUUUGCUACGGAAUAGCUCUGGGAAACUGGAAUUAAUACCGUAUGUGCCCUACGGGGGAAAGAUUUAUCGGCAAAGGAUCGGCCCGCGUUGGAUUAGCUAGUUGGUGGGGUAAUGGCCUACCAAGGCGACGAUCCAUAGCUGGUCUGAGAGGAUGAUCAGCCACAUUGGGACUGAGACACGGCCCAAACUCCUACGGGAGGCAGCAGUGGGGAAUAUUGGACAAUGGGCGCAAGCCUGAUCCAGCCAUGCCGCGUGAGUGAUGAAGGCCUUGGGGUUGUAAAGCUCUUUCACCGGAGAAGAUAAUGACGGUAUCCGGAGAAGAAGCCCCGGCUAACUUCGUGCCAGCCGCCGCCGUAACAC
rnacentral:rRNA from 1 species